rnacentral:lncRNA from 1 species
AUCAAUUCAAAAGUCAGGAAAAGAAUCAAAUCUUGACAUAAUGUUUUCUACCUCUUUGCACAAAAAAAGACGGAGAUGAAGAAAUUGGUGUGUCUUGAUUUCGUCCAACUCCUUACCUAAUACCACCAGGGAGUCCUCAUUCCUGGUUAAACAUACCAAAUCAAAAAUCAACUAUUACCAAAUUCAAUUACAAUAUUAAGAAAGAAACACUAAAAAAUAUUGCAUAUUAUCAACUGAAAACAUGAACUACCAACAUCAUUUUCAACAUAGCCACAAAAAAUGUUUACCUUAUCAAAAACCAAAAUAAAAUAAAAUUUUGAAGUAGGUUAGAUAUUGAUACAUUAAUAGGCUCAUAAAGUGAUAAAUUAUACUCUAAUUUUUAUCAAGAAUGAGAAGUUUUUCCAACUAUUAGCAACAACUACUAUGAAUCUAUUAUCACUAACAACUUAGCAUUAACUAAUUUACUUGUGGUGCAAAAGAGAAAAUGACCACACCUCAUUACAAAACUAAACUGACUCAUAAGACUAUUGUAUUUUUGUGGACUAAUGAGUGUGAGGUGAUAUUCUAAAAGCUCAAGGAUUUAUUGACCGUAUGUCACGCCCCAAAAUAGGGGGCGUAAUUGGCACUCGAUACCUAUUCGAUCGAGUUACCCACUAAAACAUACUAGCUAACCAAACUGUGAGACAAAAAGAUUGGGCAGCAUAACCUCUAAAAAGUGAAGCCUGGAUCCUGAAGGUCAUGACCUAAAUGAGAAUAAACCAUACAAACAAUGGUAGACAAGCCAAAAAAAUAAAGAUGUACUAGUUAGCCGACGAGGCCACAACUGAAGACAUACCUACUUACACACACAUAUAUAUACAUGCCAAGUGUAUGGGCUGGAGAAUGAAACUUACAAAAUAAAACCGAGAAUAUUGUGUCCACAAUAGCCACUAUGAGUGACAUAAGAAUUGUCGGUACAAGGCCCCGACUAUACCCAAACUGUACAACAAAAGUAAACAUCU